rnacentral:siRNA from 1 species
UAAAUAGUGCACGUAUGGU